UACGUAGGGUGCGAGCGUUGUCCGGAAUUAUUGGGCGUAAAGGGCUCGUAGGCGGUUUGUCGCGUCGGGAGUGAAAACACCGGGCUUAACUCGGUGCUUGCUUUCGAUACGGGCAGACUAGAGGCAUGCAGGGGAGAACGGAAUUCCUGGUGUAGCGGUGAAAUGCGCAGAUAUCAGGAGGAACACCGGUGGCGAAGGCGGUGGUCUGGGCCGGCACUGACGCUGAGGAGCGAAAGCGUGGGUAGCAAACAGG
rnacentral:rRNA from 1 species